rnacentral:rRNA from 1 species
AGUGAACGCUGGCGGUAGGCCUAACACAUGCAAGUCGAACGGCAGCACAGUAAGAGCUUGCUCUUACGGGUGGCGAGUGGCGGACGGGUGAGGAAUACAUCGGAAUCUACUUUUUCGUGGGGGAUAACGUAGGGAAACUUACGCUAAUACCGCAUACGACCUACGGGUGAAAGCAGGGGAUCUUCGGACCUUGCGCGAUUGAAUGAGCCGAUGUCGGAUUAGCUAGUUGGCGGGGUAAAGGCCCACCAAGGCGACGAUCCGUGGCUGGUCUGAGAGGAUGAUCAGCCACACUGGAACUGAGACACGGUCCAGACUCCUACGGUAGGCAGCAGUGGGGAAUAUUGGACAAUGGGCGCAAGCCUGAUCCAGCCAUACCGCGUGGGUGAAGAAGGCCUUCGGGUUGUAAAGCCCUUUUGUUGGGAAAGAAAAGCAGCAGGUUAAUACCCCGCUGUUCUGACGGUACCCAAAGAAUAAGCACCGGCUAACUUCGUG